GCUCUGGUGGUCUAGUGGUUAUGAUGCUCGCUUCCCAUGACACGGUACCAGCGGGCGAGCCGAGUUCGAUUCUCGGUCAGAGCA